rnacentral:misc_RNA from 1 species
GAUGAAGAACGCAGCGAAACGCGAUAUGUAAUGUGAAUUGCAGAAUUCAGUGAAUCAUCGAAUCUUUGAACGCACAUGGCGCCUUCCAGUAUCCUGGGAGGCAUGCCUGUCCGAGCGUCGUUUCAACCCUCGAGCCCCCGUGGCCCGGCGUUGGGGUUCUGCCCAGGCAGUCCCCGAAAACCAGUGGCGGACCCGUUACAGGCCCUUCCCUUGCGUAGUAGCAUUCGCCUCGCAUCGGGAGCCGGCGGGCUUCCAGCCUCUAAACCCCCAUCAAGUCCGCCCCGGCGGCACCAAGGUUGACCUCGGAUCAGGUAGGAAUACCCGCUGAACUUAAGCAUAUCAAUAAGCGGAGGA